AAAAUUCAACUCCUCUCCCUUCAUCAGAAGGGUGGUGGGGAUGCAGGGACGGAGAGCUCUGGCUACCUCAGUUAAAACUAACACAGACCUUCAGGCAUGGAAAACACCCUUCAGACCUUCCACAUCUUUGGCUUUCUUCUGACUAUCUUCAACCUCUCUCCUUGAUUUGAGAGGGAGAAAAAUCCACUUGGCAUUUGCGAAUGGCUGUGAUUCAAUGCAGCGAAGGGUCUCUGCCGCCGCCAGCCUCGCUGAGCCUUGGGAACUCCUUGUGCCAUAAUGAAAUCACAUCUGCUGCCGAGUAGGGAGUCAGUGAAGGAUGGAUGAGUGGGGAGAUGCUUUCUCAGGCAGGCUGGGCUCUCCUACUUCCCGAGUUUAACAUCCAUGUGCUGCACCAUCUGGGGUGUGCCUUGGCCCAGGCAUCUGCCCCAGCUCCAGUGACUCUCGGGCAGGUGAGGGGGUGGAGCAGGGUGGCACAAGGACCUUUUUGCAAUGGAUCAGCUGCUGGGGAGUGAAGGUCCUGAUCCUUUUAGGCACUGCCUCAGAAGCCCAGUGUCACAAAUGGAUGCCCUGAUUCCAAGGAGAGGCUGCAGCAGGCUUGGGAAAGCCCAGGGAAGGGGAUGUAAAGGCAAACAGUGAAUCUCAUCAUGAAUUCAUGGUAACAAGUGCCUACAGAAGUAGCACUCCUAACAAAUUUCUCCAAGCUCUUAGAGCAUCUUAAGAGGAGAUGACUCUGUCACUUGCUUUAUGGGUCUGUGGAGGAUCCUACUGAGUAAGAAAUGCACAUAUUUAAGUUUAUGGGAAGAUAAACCUAACAUUUAGUGCCUGGCUCUGUUCAUAUUUAGCUCUGUGCAUUCUGAGGUAUAUAUCUGCCAUAUGGGACAUUCUGUCUGACCAGACCAGAAUGGGUUCUGUAAUUAUUUAAUUGCUAUAGCAGGAUGAUACCUGUUAUUAAUAUUAUAAAUAAUAAACAAUAUGUCUUAAACUAUAAACACCGAAGAGCAAGUCAGACAAAUGCAUGGGAGAAAAAAAAAAGCCAUGUGAAAAAUACAGCUCUUCAGUAAAGAUGAAACAGUGGCACUGUAGGAGUCAGGGAAGUGAAAAUACUGGGAAAAUAACAGUGUGGUCGCUGCCUUGUGCUGAAUCUGCACAAACACUCAUGAUAUGAAAUAGUCUCUGUCCUGAGGACUUAAAAUUCAUGGCUUAGGCUGAGAGAGAAAAUGCCUUUAUGAUCUCUCUGUCUCUCUUGUGUCUCACUGAGGAAAGAUCUGCAGGGGUAGAAAGAGCCAAGGCAGUGGAUUUUACCAUCUCCAUGCCUGCCGAGAGCAGCUCGCUCACAGCAAAGGUUUGCAGAGGGACAGAGGGCAGGGGCUGCCAGAGAGAAGUGCAGGAGCAGAGACCAGUGCAAGGGAAAGAGAGAAAGAAAAGAAAGAGGCAGGACAAGGUGUCUGCUCAUCUUUUUACGAGGGACAAUGGAAAUGGUUUAGGGGGACAGGGCGGGAGAAGCCAAGCAGGGUAAGAGGCAGGGCUGGAAGUGAUAAAGAAAGGUUUCAUUGCCAGAGAGGGUGACAUUCAGCUAAUCUUUCCCUGCUGGCAGUGAGCCGAGCCUGGACCUGACAUCUCCACAGGCAGGUCCUGCAUGGGCUCCCUGCCACAGCCACCUCCCCAGCUCUCCCUUCCUCUCAGGUCUGUGCAGAGCACGAGAAGGGACAAUAUUUACAACAUUUACUGUGCUUUUUUUUAUGUAAAAAUCUACUCAGUAUCACUUAACCUCUUACCCCAUCUCUUCUCCUAGAAAAACUCUUGCUUUUUUACUUUUUACUACCUCCAUCAAAUGAGAAGCAGAAUUUCCCUCAGUGCUGGAGAGCCUGGUGUGGAUUCCCAUUCCUCUGCCCCUUCCAGCUCUGGAGGCACCAGCCCACAUCUCUAGCAGCAAAGCCAAGGAAAGUGCUUCAACCCUGAGGAUUUUCCCUGAGUACCUUGGGAGAGGCUGGGAAUUUUGACAAUAAAGUAAAGAAGAGGAGAUAAUAAUAUGAGGAAUAAGAAUACCCAAGCACAGAACUCCACAUGAAUGAUCUGCUCCAAGGUCACCUGAUAAAUGGCAUGGAGACAGGGUGUUGGUGAUGACACAAGCAGAGAGAAGAAAUAAAUCUCACUGGGACAGUGUGGACAGGAGUGCCUGUUUGCUCUGGAAAGAAUUGGAAGAAGAAGAAGAAACUAAGUGGAUUGCUGCAGUACAUUAAUUGUACAAGAACUGCAAAAUGGCUGAAAACAGAGGGAUGAUAUUUUUAAAGCUGUCUAGUUUUGAAAAGAUCAAAGGCAGAGGUAGAGAAAUAAUCCAUUGGACGUGUAUAAUUGCAAAGCGCGUAUUGUUAAAAAAAAAAAAAAAAAGAAAAAAAAAAAAGAAAAA